rnacentral:rRNA from 1 species
GACAGAGGUGCCGAGCGUUAGGCGGAAUCACUGGGCUUAAAGCGUGUGUAGGCGGAUGCCUAAGUACCUUGUGAAAUCCCACGGCUUAACCGUGGAACUGCUUGGUAUACUGGGUGUCUUGAGCCACUUAGGGGCGACCGGAACAAACGGUGGAGCGGUGAAAUGCGUAGAUAUCGUUUGGAACGCCAAUGGUGAAAACAGGUCGCUGGGAGUGCACUGACGCUGAGACACGAAAGCCAGGGGAGCGAACGGG